UACGUAGGCAGCAAGCGUUGUUCGGAGUUACUGGGCGUAAAGGGUGUGUAGGCGGUUGUUUAAGUUUGGUGUGAAAUCUCCCGGCUUAACUGGGAGGGUGCAGCGGAAACUAGAGUGGCUAGAGGGUGGGAGAGGGUAAGGACGGAAGUUACCUUCGGUGUAGCGGUGAAAUGCGUAGAUAUCAGGAGGAACACCUGGUGGUGUGAGA
rnacentral:rRNA from 1 species